AGAAUGAACGCUGGCGGCGUGCUUAACACAUGCAAGUCGAGCGAGGCCAGGGGGGCAACUCCCUGAGUCGAGCGGCGGACGGGUGAGUAACACGUGGGUAACCUACCCGGAAGUGGGGAAUACCUCGGGGAAACUCGAGCUAAUACCGCAUGAAAUCUCGAGGGCGAAAGUCCUUUUGAUCAAAGCGGGGCCGCAAGGCCUCGUGCUACCGGAUGGGCCCGCGCCCGAUUAGCUAGUUGGCGAGGUAAUGGCU
rnacentral:rRNA from 1 species